rfam:Homo sapiens chromosome 10, GRCh38 reference primary assembly.
GCUGGGUGUGGUGGCGCACGCCUGUAGUCCCAGCUACCCGGGAGGCCGAGGCAGGAGAAUUGCUUGAACCUGGGAGGCGGAGGUUGCAAAGAGCUGAGAUCGUGCCACUGCACUCCAGCCUGGUGACAGAGUGAGAAUCUGUCUCAAAAAAAAAAAAAAUUUUUUUUUAAAGAGGGUCUCCCUCUGUUGCCUAGGCUGGUGGUGCAGUGGCACAAUCUUAGCUCACUGUAACCUCAAACUCCUGGGCUCAAGUGAUCCCCCUGCCUCAG